CCUACGGGUGGCAGCAGUGAGGAAUAUUGGUCAAUGGACGGGAGACUGAACCAGCCAAGCCGCGUGAGGGAUGAAGGUACAGAGUAUCGUAAACCUCUUUUGUCAGGGAACAAAGGCGGGGACGUGUCCCCGGAUGAGUGUACCUGAAGAAAAAGCAUCGGCUAACUCCGUGCCAGCAGCCGCGGUAAUACGGAGGAUGCGAGCGUUAGCCGGAUUUAUGGGGUUAAUAGUGUGCGCAGGCGGUCUGAAAAGUCAGCGGUAAAAGCCCGGGGCUCAACCCCGGCCCGCCGUUGAAACUGGCAGUCUCGAGUUGGAGAGAAGUAUGCGGAAUGCGCGGUGUAGCGGUGAAAUGCAUAGAUAUCGCGCAGAACUCCGAGUGCGAAGGCAGCAUGCCGGCUCCACACUGACGCUGAGGCACGAAAGCGUGGGUAUCGAACAGGAUUAGAUACCCCAGUAGUC
rnacentral:rRNA from 1 species